UACGUAGGGGGCAAGCGUUGUCCGGAUUUAUUGGGCGUAAAGAGCUCGUAGGUGGUUCGGUAAGUCGGAUGUGAAAUCUCCAGGCUCAACCUGGAGGGGUCAUUCGAUACUGCCGUGACUAGAGGUCGGUAGGGGAGUGUGGAAUUCCUGGUGGAGCGGUGAAAUGCGCAGAUAUCAGGAGGAACACCUGUGGCGAAAGCGGCUCACUGGACCAUAACUGACGCUGAUGCACGAAAGCUAGGGGAGCAAACAGG
rnacentral:rRNA from 1 species